GCCAAUCAAUAUUUUCUAUGCAAAAAAUACAAUGCUCACUAUCUUCCCUUUAUAUAUACUCUCCCUGCCACUGUCUGGUAACUCAGAAAAUCAUAACUCAAGAUGGAGUUGGAAGUUGUUAAGAGAAUUCUCAUUCUCUUCCUUCUUGCCUUAGCUACAUCGCCUUCAGAAUCACUUCCAGGAAACCGAAAAUUGAUGUACUAUAAAGCUCCUGUUUUGGCCGGAGCUGAUGCUAGAUUCCUGAUGGUUAGAACCAAUGACUAUGGAACGUAUGAUCCUUCUCCUGCUAUGGACAAGCCUCCUUACAAGCAAAUACCUAAUUGAUGCUACAGUGAGGUAGUUCAAGAGAGGAUAAUCCAUUUAGUGCAAUGAAUGGAGAUGUAAGCAUAUGAUAUUAACUGAGUGUAUAGUGAACAAGUAUAUUUGAUGAUAAUAGAUAAGCUCUGUAUUAUGUA